AUACUUUGUAUUAAGACCUUCAGGAUCUUUCGAAGACCCGCUUUCUGGGCCUUUAGUGUCAAGUUCUCAAUCUCAGUGUCUCACCAGGGAAGGUGCUCUGCAAUAAUCUCCAAGAACGUCUGAGCAUAGCUUGGCGGUUCAGGACCUUGCGGCGCAGGCGCGGAGCCACGGCCGUUGGUAUGCUUCCUAUUCUUCUUAGCAUCUCUGUCCUCUAACAGGUCAUCUGCUCCAGGAGAACUAGGGCUGGGCGGUUAAUCAGGCAAUGACUGGCUCUCCAUACUGAGCAGCACACGAGUCUGAGUGGAAGAGUGUCAGUGACCUCGGGAAACUUGGUGAGACCCAGAGUUCGGCUCAAGGGCUUCUCAUUAAUCCUUCCGGCUUCCUCUAGCUCCGCGCACUCAGGUUCCGUCCAAGCCAGGGUCCGGGCCAGGGUGUGUCCCGGCGCUCGGCUAGAGACGGCCGCAGAAUCCCAGCAUGUGAACUGGACAUGAUCGCCCAGUUGGAGGAAGAACAACUAUACAUACUGGAUCUUCAGGGAACUGAAGAGGGGACUGACCAAAAAUAUCUGUUUAGAUAGGGAAGAUUUGAACUGAACCAAAGCAUCACCACCAAUCAGGCUGUUUUGGAAGAACUAGAGCUUUCAGGGUCAGCAAUGGAAAGUCUUCGAGGGAAUACUGCCCAGCAUCCUAUGGAUGAAGAAGCCUGUAAAAUGUCUGUUUGUUUGCCUGCUGCCUCUCUGGACUGCCUUUGGAUUCAGAAGUUUCUAAGAAGUUGGUGCUCCAAGGAUCAUCCCUUUUGUGCUUUUCUGCUACUGCCCCUGGAGAUGGCUCUUCUCCAGAAAUGUCCAGCUCUGAGGCUGUUAUGCUAUUUUCUGGUCUUGUCACCCAGUCUGAAAGAAAAAGAAAAUGUCAGCAUACUCUGAAUUGAGGGAAAAAAGACAAAUACAACAGCAAAAGUGUUACUGUGGAGAUGACCUAAUGAAACUAAAAAAUAAAGCCCUCAGGGAAUUCUGAGAACUUUCAAAUACAGCCCUAUUUUGGGGGGAGACAUUUGGAAAGAGGUAAGGAGAAUGAUAAAUAAAAUAUGAGAGCAGCAA